rnacentral:rRNA from 1 species
UACGUAGGGUGCAAGCGUUUAAUCGGAAUUACUGGGCGUAAAGCGUGCGCAGGCGGUUUUGUAAGCCAGAUGUGAAAUCCCCGGGCUUAACCUGGGAAUGGCAUUUGGGACUGCAAGGCUGGAGUACGGCAGAGGAGACUGGAAUUCCUGGUGUAGCAGUGAAAUGCGUAGAGAUCAGGAGGAAUACCGAUGGCGAAGGCAGGUCUCUGGGCUGAUACUGACGCUCAUGCACGAAAGCGUGGGGAGCAAACAGG